GGGAUUGCCCUAGUACCGGCGAGUGAAGCGGCAACACCUCAAAUUUUGAAUCUGGCCUCGGGUCCGAGUGUAUUGUAGAGGAUGCUUAGUGCGAUGCUUCGAGUUCCUGAACGGGACGCAAAAGAGGUGAAGGCCCCGUACGGUUGGACACUACCCUGUAUAUAGCUCUUCGACGAGUCGAGUAGUUUGGGAAUGCUGCUCUAAAUGGGAGGUAAAUUCUUCUAAGCUAAAUACCGGCCAGAGACCGAUAGCGCACAAGUAGAGUGAUCGAAAGAUGAAAAGCACUUUGAAAAGAGGGUUAAAUAGCACGUGAAAUUGUUGAAAGGGAAGCGUUUGCGACCAGACUUUUCCGGGGGGAUCAUCCGGUGUUCUCACCGGUGCACUUCGCCCGGUUUAGGCCAGCAUCGGUUCUCUUAGGGGGAUAAAGGCUUGGGGAACGUAGCUCCUUCGGGAGUGUUAUAGCCCCUUGCGUAAUACCCCUCGGGGGACCGAGGAUCGCGCUCUGCAAGGAUGCUGGCGUAAUGGUCGUCAACGACCCGUCUUGAAACACGGACCAAGGAGUCGAACAUUUGUGCGAGUGUUUGGGUGUUAAACCCUCACGCGUAAUGAAAGUGAACGGAGGUGAGAGCCCUUACGGGUGCAUCAUCGACCGAUCCUGAUGUCUUCGGAUGGAUUUGAGUAAGAGCAUAACUGUUCGGACCCGAAAGAUGGUGAACUAUGCGUGGAUAGGGUGAAGCCAGAGGAAACUCUGGUGGAGGCUCGCAGCGGUUCUGACGUGCAAAUCGAUCGUCAAAUCUGCGCAUGGGGGCGAAAGACUAUCGAAACCAUCCAGCGGUA
rnacentral:rRNA from 1 species